rnacentral:rRNA from 1 species
GAUGAACGCUGGCGGCGUGCUUAACACAUGCAAGUCGAACGAUAAAGCCCAGCUUGCUGGGUGGAUUAGUGGCGAACGGGUGAGUAACACGUGAGUAACCUGCCCUUGACUCUGGGAUAAGCCCGGGAAACUGGGUCUAAUACCGGAUAGGAGCGCCUGUCGCAUGACGGGUGUUGGAAAGAUUUUUCGGUCAUGGAUGGACUCGCGGCCUAUCAGCUUGUUGGUGAGGUAAUGGCUCACCAAGGCGACGACGGGUAGCCGGCCUGAGAGGGUGACCGGCCACACUGGGACUGAGACACGGCCCAGACUCCUACGGGAGGCAGCAGUGGGGAAUAUUGCACAAUGGGCGGAGGCCUGAUGCAGCGACGCCGCGUGAGGGAUGACGGCCUUCGGGUUGUAAACCUCUUUUCAGUAGGGAAGAAAGCGAAAAGUGAACGGUAC